UUGCUUAGGCAGCACAUAUGGUAAAAUUGGAAUUACAGAGAAGAUUAGCAUGGCCUCUGAGCAAGAAUGACCAUAAAUUCACAAAGUGUUCCAUAUUUUU
rnacentral:snRNA from 1 species